GGGCUUCACGCAUGCUACAAUGGCCGGUACAAAGGGCUGCGAUACCGCGAGGUGGAGCGAAUCCCAGAAAGACCGGUCUCAGUUCGGAUUGGGUCUGCAACUCGACCCAUGAAGUCGGAGUCGCUAGUAAUCGCAGAUCAGCAACGCUGCGGUGAAUACGUUCCCGGGCCUU
rnacentral:rRNA from 1 species